AUUAUUAUGGCAGAGAAGUGUCUUAAUUUUAGAAAUUAAUAAUAUAUAAUUUAAUUAUAUUAAUAAUA
rnacentral:tRNA from 1 species